rnacentral:other from 1 species
UACUCCCUGUGGUGUACGUCUCUGAGCUGGGUAUUCUCUUGAGCCUAAUUAUAUACCCCGGGAACAGACUGCGGAUGUUAUUGUGCAGGCCUGCGUAAGCGGGAAGCCUACGAUGUUCCAACCGUUCCCACCUGAACCUCUGGUUCAAGGGCAAAGGCUCACUGCGGCACCUAUGGGGAUUAC